GGCCCGUGAGCCUCACUGCGAGGCAAAGGUUGGCAGCAGUGCCCUUCACAGCCUGGGUGCCCUUUGUUCAGAUGUAAAUUUUGUGAGGGCCUUUAAGUUGAACAAUUCUCAAGCAUGUUUUUUAUUUGGUUUUGCUUUGUUUUUGUUUGGAACAUGCUAAGAGAUGGUCCUUAAUGUUGCCAGUCACAAGAGAGAAAAAAAAUCUCGUUUGUAACCUUGACUUUGACCUUGAUUUUGUCCACUGCCGUGAGUGGUUUUUAGAAGUGGAGUUUCAAGACCUUUUCAGUAACACCGUUCUGUAGCACCUCUGGAGCAAACACUGCAGCCUGGGGCGGGCUGAUUCCCACUGCUGCAGCUGCCCUGGCACAGCUGGGCUGGGGGUGGCUGAGGGGGCACCAGCGCCCCACAGGACUCCUUGCUGCUGGGCUUGUCUCACUCAGCAUGUUUCUGGGAGAUGCUGUGCAAAAUCGUGCCCUUAGCUGCACCGUAAAGAGACUGCUGCUGAAACUGCCAAGCCACGUGUUUGGAAGAUGGGGAUCCUGAUAAUGGGAUGAAAUGCAGAUAAGAAAGAAAAAAAAAAAAAAAGGGAAUCGACAGUCCUGAGAGGAGAUGGAGCCUCCAUCCAGCCCGAAGUGUGACAUUUCAGGUGUUUUAGACUGUAUGAAAUCCUGCCUGCUGCUUCUGCCUCAAGGUGAGCUCAGUCACUGGGCACCCUGAGAUUCUGGUUUUUGUUUUGUUUUCCUUUUUGCACAUCCGUCUCAGGACCUUCAGGUGACUGUGUUGCUGCUGCCUGCAUACAUCCCUUCCCCUCCCACUCCAGCCCCAGUACCUACAAUAAGCUUGGCCCUGCAGAGCCUUUAAUGCUCAGUGCCAGCAUGGCCAGAACCUUACCACCAGUGCAGCCCCUGACUGCCCAGCAGCGCCCUGCAGGGAAACCCCUGUGCUCUAAGGGACGGGCCCUAACUCGGCCUGCUGCUUCCCCUUGCGGUGGGAUUGGGAUUCUCCCAGCUCCCGCUGGCAAGUGAUGAUCACACAGGCAGAGGUGAGGUCUCCCAGGGAGGCUGCAGUCCCCUCCCCAGCCCUGGGGCUGCCCAUGGGAGUGUUGCAGGGCUGGGGGACAUGCAGGGCCUG
ensembl:lncRNA